GGAGCGGCCGAUGUCGGAUUAGCUAGUAGGUGAGGUAAAGGCUCACCUAGGCGACGAUCCGUAGCGGGUCUGAGAGGAUGAUCCGUCACACUGGGACUGAGACACGGCCCAGACUCCUACGGGAGGCAGCAGUGGGGAAUAUUGCGCAAUGGGCGAAAGCCUGACGCAGCAACGCCGCGUGAGGGAUGAAGUACGUCGAGAUGUAAACCUCUUUCAGCAGGGACGAAGCGAAAGUGACGGUACCUGCAGAAGAAGCGCCGGCUAACUACGUGCCAGCAGCCGCGGUAAUACGUAGGGCGCAAGCGUUGUCCGGAUUUAUUGGGCGUAAAGGGCUCGUAGGCGGUCUGUCACGUCGGAUGUGAAAACUCAGUGCUUAACACUGGGCCUGCAUUCGAUACGGGCAGACUAGAGUUCGGUAGGGGAGACUGGAACUCCUGGUGUAGCGGUGGAAUGCGCAGAUAUCAGGAAGAACACCGAUGGCGAAGGCAGGUCUCUGGGCCGAU
rnacentral:rRNA from 1 species